CCGGGGACCGAGGCAGAAGAGGAGCGCGGCAGCGGCGGGGCGAUCCCGCGAGUUCCUUCCAGUGAACACCUCCUGGGGGUGUCCGGAGGGCUGGGGGUGGGCGCCGCGGCGCCUACAUUAGCCCCGCCGGGCUGCGCCCAGGCGGCAGUCGGGUCGGAGCCGCCGCCGGACUCAGCGCCGCGCGCGCCCCGCGCUGCGCCCCGCGCCCGGCUCUGCGCGAUCAGCUCCCCGGCGUCAGAGGCGCGCCCGGCCCUCCGGCCGCUCUCCCCCGCCGGCUCGCGGGGCGCGUGGGCUCGGCGGAGGCGGAGAGGGGGAGGCUGCAGGCGGGGAGAAGAGGCGGGCCCGCGGCGGCCGGAGCCCAGAGGAGAGUGGCAUGCCCGAGCCCUGGAGGCGGAGGUGGCGAAGCCGGCCGCGGGGAGACGAUGCCGCGGCUCCGUAGGGGAGGAAGGCGACAGAGAGCCAGGCGAGCCGGGCGCCCGGGCGCCCGCCGGCUGCGGGGAAGCGCGCGCCGCUCCGAGGCUCCGGCCUCCGCACCCCAGCACCCCGACGCUGCGGGCGACAGGGCCGGGCUCCGGCAGCCGCCGCCGCCGCCGCCGCCGCCUGGAGGACGGAGCAAAAGUUUGGAUCUGGGGGAGGACGCGGCGCCGAGCGGGAUUCCUACCGGGGCCGCCUGGAGACCUCCUAAACCUUCGCAGAGUGGGUAUGACUUUGCCUCCAAAGCUGCUGUUACAUUCUGCCGAGCGUCCUUCUGCACCACCCGUCUGUGACUUCAGUGUGGCUUUUUAACAUCUCCUCAUCGUUUCAGAAGCCAUCUCCCGAGCAGUAUGUAAUUCUCCCCUGGCUGUUGGAUGGUAAUAGGAGCUGCGCGUGUCUGGAGAGGGGAGCACACAGCCCGGGGUGAGAAAGUAGCUAUUUAUCAAGGUAUCUUACAAUCUCAGUUUAUGAUGUUGUAAAACGUUACCAUGCAUGUUCUGCAAGAUUAUAUCCGCUAGGAAUUUGUCAGCCAUUGUCAACAGCCAUCAGGAAUAAGGAUGCGGGUUCUUCAAGUCAACGGAAUUUUUAUUCUGCAUUUCUUUGCCCUCAUUUUCGAAGAGACUGACUGCGAGGGAUGCUUGCUUAAUGGUGCCAUCUGUUAGAUUAUGAAUUGUUCAGAAUGGGUGCUGGAAAUAUACUAGAAUGCUCCCAGAGCCCCAGCAGGUAGAAGAGAAGGCAUUCUGAAAUAUGGUCCUUGCCUUCGUGGAAAUUCUCCUUCCACUAAUACAGUGGAUGACAUCGUGGACAAUGAGUAAAGUUGCAGAAAGGCUGCCUAGUGUUCAGUGACAAAGUAGGAAUGAGAUCAUGUAGGAUCACACCAGAACUUUUCCAAACAGUACGGUAAAUGUCCCCUGUUGUAAAAUGAAUAGUAAUGUAACCCGAAGAAUCAUUAGUUCUUUAUGACAGCCCCAGACUUGAGUAAAAGUACCAAGUGGUCUCCAUCGUGGUUCUUGUUUUUUUCUGCAUUAGUAGUUGCUUGUUUGGCUUUAGUGGCCCUGUGAUUCCAGAGCUGAGCCUCACCUCUGUGGGACACUUCUGUCAUCAGAUUUCUUUUCCAUCCUCAAGCUGUCUUACCAACACAACCUGUCUCAAGAAAAGCUGGAACUCACUCCCACUUCAGUGAACAUGACAGACACCAAUGCUCAGCGUUCAUUUCCUGAAAGGAUUUGCCUUUUCAGACUAUAAGUAAAGCCUUGGACUAAAUGCAGGUCGUUUCUGAAAUGAAAGGGUUGGAGCAGCUACUGAACAACUGGGGAAGUGUUCAUGGGAAGAAAGGUGUCGUCUCCUUCUCAAAGUUCCGCACAGUCGGCCAGCUUGUUGAGUCCCACUGACUCAGGUCUCCAAAGGGAUAUUUCAUUUCACAUGCACAGGGAUAUUUCUGAAAUGCAAGCUAAAAGAAAUUGGAAUGUAGUGUAAACAAGGUACAUAUUUUAUGUGAUUCCUGGCCUUGCCACGGAGGAUGUGUGGAGACCAAGAUUGAGUGCAGUCUCUACCAUUUUCUGACUGGGAGGCAGCUUGUUGACUUUCUGGAAAUACAGUCUCCUCUUCUGUAAACUGACAUUGAUAAUACCAAGUCACGCAUUGUUUUGAGAGUCAGAUGAGGUGAUACAAGGAUCUGAGAGAGAGAGAGUAAACGGUUAUAUAAUGUCAGCUACUUGAGGCUAGUUCCCAAUUCCCGUCCUUACUCCACCUUUUUUCUACAUCAAGAUGCAGGCUCUCUAAUUUAUUUCACAAUUAUCAUAAUGAUUGUGAUACUGACAGGCAUCAAUUAUUUUCCUGUUCUUUAGGACAUUCUUUGGGCAACAACAGGUCAAUAACAGGAAAGAAUGCCAUCACAUGAUUGCGUCAUGUUCUUCAAAAUGAAAUCUAUCGAAGGUUGAACAGUAUAAACAACAAGGAACAUAAGCAGUCAGAGUGACCCAGGGGAAAUGGCCCAAUGAAAUUAAACAAAGGAAAUUUUAUACUGUGAGGAAAAAUCAAUGGAUUGUAAUAGAACCCGGCAAGAAGAGACAAAGCUCUCGAGUCCCAGAGACCCAGAGGUGAUUGAGAAGCUGUGUGGACUAGAACUCCAGCUUCUUGUUUUGCUUUUUGAAAGCUGUUUCCACUCUGUUAAGUAUAAAGAUAAAUAAUAAAG
ensembl:lncRNA